UGUUGUCCGACUCUGUUGCCUCCGGGGCGACCCUGCCUUCGGGCGGGGGCUCCGGGUGGACACUUCAAACUCUUGCGUAACUUUGCAGUCUGAGUAAACUUAAUUAAUAAAUUAAAACUUUUAACAACGGAUCUCUUGGUUCUGGCAUCGAUGAAAAACGCAGCGAAAUGCGAUAAGUAAUGUGAAUUGCAGAAUUCAGUGAAUCAUCGAAUCUUUGAACGCACAUUGCGCCCCCUGGUAUUCCGGGGGGCAUGCCUGUUCGAGCGUCAUUUCACCACUCAAGCCUCGCUUGGUAUUGGGCAACGCGGUCCGCCGCGUGCCUCAAAUCGUCCGGCUGGGUCUUCUGUCCCCUAAGCGUUGUGGAAACUAUUCACUAAAGGGUGUUCGGGAGGCUACGCCGUAAAACAACCCCAUUUCUAAGGUUGACCUCGGAUCAGGUAGGGAUACC
rnacentral:rRNA from 1 species